rnacentral:rRNA from 2 species
AGAAGCUUGCUUCUCUGAUGUUAGCGGCGGACGGGUGAGUAACACGUGGGUAACCUACCUAUAAGACUGGGAUAACUCCGGGAAACCGGGGCUAAUACCGGAUAAUAUUUUGAACCGCAUGGUUCAAUAGUGAAAGACGGUUUCGGCUGUCACUUAUAGAUGGACCCGCGCCGUAUUAGCUAGUUGGUAAGGUAACGGCUUACCAAGGCGACGAUACGUAGCCGACCUGAGAGGGUGAUCGGCCACACUGGAACUGAGACACGGUCCAGACUCCUACGGGAGGCAGCAGUAGGGAAUCUUCCGCAAUGGCGAAAGCCUGACGGAGCAACGCCGCGUGAGUGAUGAAGGUCUUCGGAUCGUAAAACUCUGUUGUUAGGGAAGAACAAAUUUGUUAGUAACUGAACAAGUCUUGACGGUACCUAACCAGAAAGCCACGGCUAACUACGUGCCAGCAGCCGCGGUAAUACGUAGGUGGCAAGCGUUAUCCGGAAUUAUUGGGCGUAAAGCGCGCGUAGGCGGUUUCUUAAGUCUGAUGUGAAAGCCCACGGCUCAACCGUGGAGGGUCAUUGGAAACUGGGAAACUUGAGUGCAGAAGAGGAGAGUGGAAUUCCAUGUGUAGCGGUGAAAUGCGCAGAGAUAUGGAGGAACACCAGUGGCGAAGGCGGCUCUCUGGUCUGUAACUGACGCUGAUGUGCGAAAGCGUGGGGAUCAAACAGGAUUAGAUACCCUGGUAGUCCACGCCGUAAACGAUGAGUGCUAAGUGUUAGGGGGUUUCCGCCCCUUAUGCUGCAGCUAACGCAUUAAGCACUCCGCCUGGGGAGUACGACCGCAGGUGGAAACUCAAAGAAUUGACGGGACCCGCACAGCGGUGGAGCAUGUGGUUUAUUCGAGCAACGCGAGACUUACCAAUCUGACAUCUUGAC